rnacentral:rRNA from 1 species
UACGAGGGGGGCAAGCGUUGUUCGGAAUUAUUGGGCGUAAAGGGCGCGUAGGCGGUGCGGUAAGUCACCUGUGAAAACUCUGGGCUCAACUCAGAGCCUGCAGGCGAAACUGCCGUGCUUGAGUGUGGGAGAGGUGCGUGGAAUUCCCGGUGUAGCGGUGAAAUUCGUAGAUAUCGGGAGGAACACCGGUGGCGAAGGCGGCGACCUGGGUCGAUACUGACGCUGAGGUGCGAAAGCGUGGGGAGCAAACAGG